rnacentral:rRNA from 1 species
UAGUCCACGCAGUAAACGAUGUCUAUUAGAAGUCUGUGGCUAUAUGCUGUGGGUUUCAAAGCUAACGCAUUAAAUAGACCGCCUGGGGAGUACGGCCGCAAGGUUAAAACUCAAAUGAAUUGACGGGGGGCCCGCACAAGCGGUGGAGCAUGUGGUUUAAUUCGAUGCAACGCGAAGAACCUUACCUACCCUUGACAUGCCCGGCUAUGUUCAGAGAUGGACAGUUCCUUCGGGACCGGUGCACAGGUGCUGCAUGGCUGUCGUCAGCUCGUGUCGUGAGAUGUUGGGUUAAGUCCCGCAACGAGCGCAACCCUCGCCUUUAGUUGCCAUCAUUCAGUUGGGCACUCUAGAGGAACUGCCGGUGAUAAGCCGGGAGGAAGGGUGGGGAUGACGUCAAGGUCCUCAUGGGCCCUUACGGGGUAGGGGCUACACACGUGCUACAAUGGUGACUACAGA